rnacentral:rRNA from 1 species
UACGUAGGGUGCGAGCGUUGUCCGGAAUUAUUGGGCGUAAAGGGCUCGUAGGCGGUCUGUCACGUCGAAAGUGAAAACUCAGGGCUCAACCCUGAGCCUGCUUCCGAUACGGGCAGACUAGAGGUAUGCAGGGGAGAAUGGAAUUCCUGGUGUAGCGGUGAAAUGCGCAGAUAUCAGGAGGAACACCGAUGGCGAAGGCAGGUCUCUGGGCCGAUACUGGCGCUGAGGAGCGAAAGCGUGGGGAGCGAACAGG